rnacentral:lncRNA from 10 species
AAGCUCUCAGCUCCACCCCAACCUCCCUCUGUGGAAUGGAAAGGGCUGGACAUUGAGUUCAGUUGCCAAUGUCCAAUGAUGCAGUCAAUCUUGUCUGUGUAAUGAAACUUUGAUGAGAACUCUGAAACAAAGAUUUGAGGGAGCUUCAAUGCUGGUGAUGUGUGAAUGGGUAGCAUUCUUAGAGAGGAUCUCACAGCUGUGUACACCUGCUCCUCCAUGCCUUGCCAUAUGCAUCUCUUUCAUUUAAGUGUUCCUGAGUUGUAUCCUUUAUAAUAAACCUUUUUUAGGUGAGACUCCGUUAUCUCCAGCAUCACAAACAAAGCUGGAAGCAUUCCCCCUGAAAACCGGCACAAGGCAAAGAUGCCUUCUGUCGCCACUCUUAUUCAGCAUAGCAUUGAAAGUUCUGGCAAGAGCAAUCGAGCAAGAGAAAAAAAUAAAGUGCACCCAAAUCAGAAGAGAGGAAGUCCACCUAUCUUUGUUUGCAGACAACACGAUCCUGUAUCUAGAAAACCCCAUUGUCUCGGCCUAAACACUUCUUAAAGUAAGUAAGCAGAAAAGUCUCAGGAUACAAAAUCAAUUGCAAAAAUCAUUAGAUUGCCUAUACACCAACAACAGUCAAACCAAGAGCCAGAUCAGGAACAAACUCCCAUUCACAAUAAGGUAUUUUAAUCACAAAAACAUUAAAAUACCUAGGAAUACAGCUAACCCGGAUCUCUGCAAGGAGAACUACCCAAACCGCUGGUCAAAGAAAUCAGAAUGACACAAACAAAUGGAAAAACACUCCAUGCUCAUGGAUAGGAAGAAUCAUUAUUGUUAAAAUGGCUAUAUCGCCCAAAGCACUUUAAAGAUUCAAUGCUAUUUCUAUUAAACCACCAUUGAGAUUCUUCACAGAACUGGAAAAAAAAGUUAAAAAUUAAUAUGUAACUAAAAAAGAACCUGAAUAACUAAGGCAAUGCUAAGCAAAAAGAAGAAAGCUGGAGGCAUCACGCUAACUGACUUUGUACUACAGAGCUACAGCAACCAAAACAGCAUGGUACUGGUACGGAUACACAUAGACCAAAUGAACAGAAUAGAGAAUCCAAAAAUAAUACUGCACACCUACAACAAUCUGAUCUUUGGAAAACCUGACAAAAACAAGCAAUGGGGAAAGGAUUCCCUAUUCAAUAAAUAGUGCUGUGAUAACUGGCUACCCAUAAGCAGAAGAUUAAAACUGGACCCCUUCCUAACACCAUAUACAAAAAUUAACUCAAGAUGGAUUAGAGACUUAAAUGUAAAAUCUGAGACUAAAAAAACCCUGGAAGACAACCUAAGUAAUACCAUCCAGAACAUAGAAAUGGGCAAAGAUAUCAUGAUGAUGAUGAUAAAACCAAUUGUAACAAAAGCAAAAACUGAUAAGUGGGAUCUAAUUAAACUAAAGAGUUUCUGCACAGCAAAAGAAACAUCAACAGAGUAAACAGACAACCUACAGAAUGAGAGAAAAUGUUUGCAAAAUAUGCAUCUGACAAAGGUCUAAUAUCCAGCAUCUAUAAGGAACUUAAAUUUACCAAAAAAAAACCCAUAAAAAAGUGGGAAAAAGACUAGAACAGACACUUUUCAAAAGACAUUCAUGUGUCCAAUAUCAUAUUUUUUAAAAGAGCUCAAUAUCACUGAUUAUUAGAGAAAUGCAAACCAAAACCACAAUGAGAUACCAUCUCACAUCAGUCAGAAUGGCUAUUACUUAAAAGUCAGAAAAUAAAAGAUGCUGGUGAGGUUGUGGAGAAAAAGGAAUGCUUAUACACUAUUGGUAGGAGUGUAAAUUAGUUAAACCAUUGUGGAAGACAGUGGCGAUUCCUCAAAGACUUAAAAACAGAAAUACCAUUUGACCUAGCAAUCCCAUUACUAGGUAUAUACCCAAAGGAAUAUAAAUCAUUCUAUUAUAAAAACACAUGCACACAUAUGUUUAUUGCAACACUAUUCACAAGAGCAAAGACAUGGAAUCAACCUAAAUGCCCAUCAAUGAUUGAUUGGAGAAAGAACACAUGCUAUAUAUACACCAUGGAAGACUAUGCAGCCAUAAAAAAGAAUGAGAUCACAUCCUUUGCAGGGACAUGGAUGGAGGUGGAAGCCAUAAUCCUAAGCAAACUAAUGGAGGAAAAGAAUACUAGAUACCACAUGUUCUCACUUACAAGUGGGAGCUAAAUGAUGGGAACAUGUGGACACAUAGAGGGUAGCAACACAUACUGGUGCCUGUUAGAGGGUGGAGGGUGAGAGGAGGGAGAGAAUCAGGAAAAUUAUCUAACGGGAACUAGGCUUAAUACCUAGAUGAUAAAAUAAUCUGUACAACAAACCCCCAUGACACAAGUUUAACUAUGUAACGAACCUUCACUUGUACCCCUGAACUUAAAAUAAAAGUUAAAAAAAAGUGUAGCACUAUUGCGUCCAGAUUUUGUUUACUGUUGUUGUUGUCAUUUUUUAAUAGACUGUUUUAAGAAUCCUGUAUCAUCAAGACUCCUGUUGGCACAUAGGGCAGUAUUGUGUAGGAAGAGCUCAU